AGCACCAAUUUGAUUGUUUGUCCUCCUUUGGGUCUAAGAUAAACCUGAAUGCAUGAAAUUGGAUUGGCCAAAAGAUUUCCUACUUAUUCCUUCCGCCUCCCUCCACUCGUGCGCACAAAGGGGGAAAUAGUAAAUCCGCUCUCUGUUGUAUUCUUGGCUGAACGUUGGGUAUGAGUGUGAGUAGUUUAUCACCCUAUUCUCCUUCCACGCGUGUAGCAAGAGAACUCAAGCAAAAACUCAGCAUAAUCACCCCCUACACAAACCGUGAAAUUCAUAGGAUAGCAAGACUCUUAAGCAUCCCUCUCCUUCUGCUCACUGUUCGGCUGUGUACCCAAGCAAAGAAGCAGUAUUAUUUUUAUUACUCCCUUGUUCCUCCUGAUUCUCUUCGCCCUGUUGGAGAUUCUGGUGCAUGCAGAUUGAUAUCUUGACUCUCACCCUCCACCCUCUUCAUUUGGGCGCACAGUCAUCCUCUAGUGGGAGAAGUUUUGAUUGGGUCUUUUCUUCCAUGGCAUGUCACUAAAACCGAUUUCUUGGAGCUGUAGAGAAGAAAGAAAUGGCACAGCUUUGGGUCCCUGCUCUCCAUGGCCGAUUUGCACAACUCGGGUUCCUUGCAAGUAGUUGUGUGCAUAUUUCGUGAGUGUGUGGAUUUUUUGCUGCUGCCUGGUAAUUUAAUUGUGGCACGCGAGGAGGACAGAAAAACAUUUGAUGACGUUAUUAUUUGGAUUUUUGUUGUUACCUGCUGCUGUUUGGAUUUCUGCUGUUAACUGUUUGUCUGUUGGAUGACUGUAAUAUUGUAAUAUUUUGGGAAGUUUGGAUUACGGUUGGAAGCAGGAUUUGGCUACUGUUUUAAGAUUUUUUUGAUCAGUUAGGACUUUGGAAAAAUUCUGGAAACAUUUUGCGAAAACUAUUUUUUAAGGUUUUGAAUGCAGUUUUAUAAACUGUUUUGCGAGCACUUUGCAAGUUAUAUUUAGU